GCUGCCAUUUUGGAAGUGGCCCACCACCAUCUUGGGAGCUCUGGGAGCCAGGACCCUCCGGUGACACUUCCUUGAUAUAGUUGAUUAUGUUUAUGGGUCUGCAUGAAGAAGAAAUGAUGGGAGUGAACAAUCAAGAGGCAGGGAAGCUCUGUACCAGCUCCUAACACAGGAAGUGCAACAUGUUAUCCACUAGAUGUGACACAACCAGAUUGCCCCUACUGCCAACGUUUCAGGAAGAAACAACCUUAUACUCACAAGAAUGACCUAAAAGCUCAUACUCGGGAGAUGAACUGAAUUACAAAAGAUGCAACAGAGUCCUGUGAAGCUAUGGAAAAGACUGAGGAAGAGCUCUAUGAAAUGAUAAAAGGAACUGAAAUAGCUGGAGUUUCAUUGACUUAAGGAUUUUCACUCUUAUCCAUUCUGCUCUAAGACUUCUCUAAGUUCAGGAGAGGCUUAUAAAGUCAGAUCUAAACUGAGUUCUGAAGACAGAAACCCAGAAAGUAGUUCCAAAAACAGAAAAAGCAUGCAAAUCAGAAGCAAAAGCAUGAUUUAUUUGGACUGCUGACCUGCCUGGGAGACUGUAGGCUCUGGGAAACAGAUGGGGAAAAAUGACAAGAGAUGAGACUGAAGAAGACUGGAGAUCAAAUGAUGAAGAGCACUUUAUAGCAACACAAGGUUUUGAAAUUUAUCAUGUGGCCAAUUGGAAGCCAGUCAAGGGGAAGGGGUCAUCGUAACGUAACUAAGCAAAUGAAUAAAUAAAUGAAUAUAUACAUAAGUGGUUCUACGUGGUAGGAGAAUAAGAAUAUUUAUCUU